GCCAGAGUUGCGAGCACCAGAGACCCUACCCCUGAGAGUGACCCUGAACCCCUUCUCAGCCUUGCCCUAGGAUAUCCUGGCCCCCCACACCUGGCCUGCAGAGAGAGGGUGGGGCAGUCACCAAGUGUCAGUGGGGCUCUGGCUUUGCCAGUUUCGUGGGAAGGAGGAAGCUUAUGUAAGCUGGGAAGACAAGGCAGAAAAACCAAACAAAAGGCUCACCAACGUUAGGCUUACCCCUAGGUUGACACAUCUCCAGCUGUAUAGGACCUCAGACUCCCCGUUAUGGUCUGAAUUACAUGCCUCCAAAAGGUAAGGUCACCUCAGAAUGUGACCUCAUUCGGAAAUAGGUUCAGUGCAGAUGUAACUGCUUAGGUGGAGUCCAUACUGGAGUAGGAUGGACCCUUAAUCCAGUAUGACUGGUGUCCCUGUAAGAAGAGGGACAUUUGGACAUAGACACGGGGGAAGAUGGCUACGUGGAGGAGGCAGAGAUUUCGAGUCAUCCGUAGCCAAACGCUAAGUAACAUCUGGAGCUGCUCGUAGCUUCAGAAGGAUCAUGGCCCUGCCAACAGUUUGAUUUUGGAUUUCUGGCCUCCAGAUUUGUGGGAUGAUAACUGUAAGAUGAUCUGUUAAGCUACCCAGUUAGGCAGUCAGGAAAAGUGAAUGUGGCCUCGUAGAUACUGUUACCUGAGCAGAUGGGUGGAUUGUGGUGUCAUUUCCUGAUGUAGAGAAAAUUGGGAGCAGCCCGAGCAAACUAACACACUCCGCCCCCCACCUUCCUGGGCAGAGGCUGUGCCUCCACCAGUCCCACCUGUGCAGCAGGCUGCGUUCCACAUGCCCAGUGUUUGGUGUUGCUGCCGCUGGUUUUAAUUUUGAAUGUGCAUCCCUCUCUGGUUCCUGUGGGCAUUUCCGCUCUGGUCCCUGUUCCGUAUGUCCCCUCAGUCACCGCCCCACUCCAGCUCCUCUCAGCAUCAGCUAUUUAUUCCCUCCCCAGGCUUUCUUUCCACCCAGGAAAACUCUGAGCUAGAGAAGGAUUUUAUGUUGGACAAAAUUUGCCUUCCCACAGCUGUGGCCCACCAGUCCUUGCUCUGUACUCCAGGGCCACACAGAAUCCUCUGCUUUCUCUGCCUUCAGACUUGACCGCAGGAGCUUUAUCUCCUUAAAAAUUAUCUGGUCCCAGGUCCCUCAGAACAUCCUCAUUGCUGUGGUUUCCUGAUGGUCACCUUCUCGGGGCAAGCUCCAGUUGUUAAACUUCUCUUUGUGAUUAGGGAUCAAGACUAGACACGAUACACCUGGUAUA
rnacentral:lncRNA from 9 species